UACAGAGGGGGCAAGCGUUGUUCGGAAUUACUGGGCGUAAAGGGCGCGUAGGCGGCCGACUAAGUCAGACGUGAAAUCCCAUGGCUCAACCAUGGAACUGCGUCCGAUACUGGACGGCUUGAGUUCGGGAGAGGGAAGUGGAAUUCCAGGUGUAGCGGUGGAAUGCGUAGAUAUCUGGAGGAACACCGGUGGCGAAGGCGGCUUCCUGGACCGACACUGACGCUGAGGCGCGAAAGCCAGGGGAGCAAACGGG
rnacentral:rRNA from 1 species